GAAGGAAUUUGCAUCUUCCCUCAGUGCAUAAGGGGGUACUCUCUUAGUACUCUAGCUUCCUUGCACACUCCAUAAAGACUUGCCCAGCGUGUGCCCCACCUUUAACCAAUGACCGUUUGAGUCUUUGUCCAGAAAAGGUUCAACUGUCUGAGCUUUUAGUGACAUACUUCCGAGAUGGCG